rnacentral:rRNA from 1 species
UACGGGGGGGGCAAGCGUUGUUCGGAAUUACUGGGCGUAAAGGGUUCGUAGGUGGCUCGCUAAGUCAGACGUGAAAUCCCUCAGCUUAACUGGGGAACUGCGUCUGAGACUGGCAAGCUUGAGUGCAGGAGAGGAACGCGGAAUUCCAGGUGUAGCGGUGAAAUGCGCAGAUAUCAGGAGGAACACCAAUGGCGAAGGCAGCUCGCUGGGACGUGACUGACGCUGAGACGCGAAAGCGUGGGGAGCAAACAGG